rnacentral:rRNA from 1 species
GAUUACGCUGGCGGCGUGCAUAACACUUGCAAGUCGAACGAUGAAACUUAAAUGAUCUCUUCGGAGUGAAUUUAAGUGGAUUAGUGGCGGACGGGUGAGUAACGCGUGAGUAACCUGCCUUAGAGAAGGGGAUAGCCUUUGGAAACGAAGAAUAAUACCCUAUGAAACCAUAACCUCGCAUGAGGCCUUGGUCAAAGAUUUAUCGCUCUAAGAUGGACUUGCGUCUGAUUAGUUAGUUGGUGGGGUAACGGCCUACCAAGACAGCGAUCAGUAGCCGGCUUGAGAGAGUGUACGGCCACAUUGGGACUGAGACACGGCCCAGACUCCUACGGGAGGCAGCAGUGGGGAAUUUUGCACAAUGGGGGAAACCCUGAUGCAGCGACGCCGCGUGAUUUAGAAGGCCUUCGGGUUGUAAAAAUCUUUUCUAUGGGAAGAAAAUGACAGUACCAUAGGAAUAAGGACCGGCUAAUUACGUGCCAGCAGCCGCGGUAAUACGUAAGGUCCGAGCGUUGUCCGGAAUCAUUGGGCGUAAAGGGUACGUAGGCGGGUAAGCAAGUUAGAAGUGAAAUCCUAUAGCUCAACUAUAGUAAGCUUUUAAAACUGCUCAUCUUGAGGUAUGGAAGGGAAAGUGGAAUUCCUAGUGUAGCGGUGAAAUGCGCAGAUAUUAGGAGGAAUACCGGUGGCGAAGGCGACUUUCUGGCCAUAACCUGACGCUGAGGUACGAAAGCGUGGGUAGCAAACAGGAUUAGAUACCCUGGUAGUCCACGCCGUAAACGAUGAGUGUUAGGUGUCUGGAGUAAAUCUGGGUGCCGCAGCUAACGCAUUAAACACUCCGCCUGGGGAGUACGCGCGCAAGCGUA